rnacentral:rRNA from 1 species
AUGGAACACCUGUCUGGAGACCUACAGCCAUUUCAGCUGCCCAACGGACAUAACGUGGGCCACCUGAGCCAAAUGCAGGCUCAACCAUCUGGAUUCUGCAAAACGAAAACUCUGAAAUCACCAGUCACAGUUCCAGAGUUUUUCAUGUUACAGACUCUUAGAAUGCCAUCUCAAAGGUUAUUUACCUUGAAGGGUUCAUUGUCUGUUCGGAAGGUGAUGUUUGGAACAUCAUGUAGCCAAAAUGGAAACCCUCUGCACAAGAUACCCAGCAUUUGUUCAGAAUUGAAAAGACACCUACCUGGCCCUGGACAGGCUCGUGAACAUUCCAAAAGACGUAAGUUUGUAUGA